rnacentral:lncRNA from 1 species
AGCAUGCAGAAACCACAGAAUAAACAAAUCUCUGCCAAACACAGACAGAAACACACAGGCCUUGACGCAUCCACCCAUCCAUCAGGCUGACACUGGAGAAACGAUUAUCUCUAGGCUUAUAAAUUUUGGAAUUUUCCCUUUCCUGAGAUGCUCCUGGGAACAGAGUGGACCCGUGGCUAACAAUACUGGGUAGGAUAGUAUGGAGAAGCAAGUAUAGCCUGGCAGUCAUCUGCACAACGGAGUAGAAGGCCUUUCUCCCGUGUCUUAGGAACUUUCUGCUGCUGUGACGAAAUGCCGAAACCAAGAGCAAGUUAUAGAGGAAAGAGGGCCAUUGUUUUCUUAUGGGCUUAAGGCUCCAGAGGCAUUUCACAGAAGAACUGAAAAUAUCAUGGAGAACAAAAAUAGCACGAGACGGGGCCUAGAACCGGGAAGAGGAGGCACGUGGUUCCUAAAUCGCUGCACAUGGGCACUGUGUGGCACACUGCCACUUCUGGAAAUGUGAG